UACGUAGGAGGCGAGCGUUGUCCGGAGUUACUGGGCGUAAAGCGCACGCAGGCGGUCAGAUAAGUCUGUGGUGACAGUCGUCGGCUUAACCGACGAAGUACUAAAGAAACUGUCUGACUUGAGGGCUUCAGAGGGACAUGGAAUUCCGGGUGGAGUGGUGAAAUGCGUAGAUAUCCGGAGGAACACCGAUGGCGAAGGCAAUGUCCUGGGAAGCAUCUGACGCUCAGGUGCGAAAGCUAGGGGAGCGAACAGG
rnacentral:rRNA from 1 species